ensembl:rRNA 5S_rRNA 5S ribosomal RNA
AUCUAUGGCUAUACCACCCUGAACACGCCCAAUCUCAUCUGAUCUCAGAAGCUAAGCAGGGUUGGGCCUGGACAGUACUUGGAUGGGAGAAACACAAAACUAAUCAGUUGGAUU